rnacentral:rRNA from 1 species
AACGAACGCUGGCGGCAUGCCUAACACAUGCAAGUCGAACGAAGCCUUCGGGCUUAGUGGCGCACGGGUGCGUAACGCGUGGGAAUCUGCCCUUGGGUUCGGAAUAACAGUUAGAAAUGACUGCUAAUACCGAAUGAUGUCUUCGGACCAAAGAUUUAUCGCCCAAGGAUGAGCCCGCGUCGGAUUAGCUAGUUGGUGAGGUAAAGGCUCACCAAGGCGACGAUCCGUAGCUGGUCUGAGAGGAUGAUCAGCCACACUGGGACUGAGACACGGCCCAGACUCCUACGGGAGGCAGCAGUGGGGAAUUUUGGACAAUGGGCGAAAGCCUGAUCCAGCAAUGCCGCGUGAGUGAUGAAGGCCUUAGGGUUGUAAAGCUCUUUUACCCGGGAUGAUAAUGACAGUACCGGGAGAAUAAGCCCCGGCUAACUCCGUGCCAGCAGCCGCGGUAAU